rnacentral:rRNA from 1 species
UGGCGACCGGCGCACGGGUGCGUAACGCGUAUGCAACCCACCUUUAACAGGGGGAUAACACUGAGAAAUUGGUACUAAUACCCCAUAAUAUCAUAGAAGGCAUCUUUUAUGGUUGAAAAUUCCGAUGGUUAGAGAUGGGCAUGCGUUGUAUUAGCUAGUUGGUGGGGUAACGGCUCACCAAGGCGACGAUACAUAGGGGGACUGAGAGGUUAACCCCCCACACUGGUACUGAGACACGGACCAA